rnacentral:lncRNA from 1 species
UCCAGAUGUUCUUCCCACUCCUCAACUGCUCCUGGCUCAGAAACCCUGCACACCUGGAAGAAAGUGAGAACCAGUUUUUCAACAAACACAUUGCACAGACUUAUUGUGAACCCCGGGUGGAAUCAAGCAUCGGAGGAAGAGAACGUGACAGGGUCUUGCUGUGUCCCUAGGCUGGAGUGCAGUGGUGCAGUCUCAAUUAUGCCAGAUGGCUCUGAGGUCCAAGUAAAAGAUAAUAUUUGCAACCAACUCACUGGAGUUGACCAUCAAAACUCUUUUCCAGGUGGAAAAGCACCCUGAAUCCAGCUUCCUGCUAUGAAUGAAUACUGAGCUUGGGUUGGUGGAAAUUGAUUUUCGAGAUAAAGAAUCCAGCCAGGACUGUGAAGCCCCAGGGAAUGGCUGCACUUCAAGUCAGAAGGAGCCUGGGUCCCUGAAUCAUCAUGUGGAAGGCUCUCCACCCAGUUCAAUGGUGCAAUGGACCACAAGCAGGAACUUAAUUUAGAAUGUGCUUAUUUUGUUAGAUUUUGUAAUUAAAAAAUGGAUCCCACUCUGAC